rnacentral:rRNA from 1 species
UUAAGCGACUAAGCGUACACGGUGGAUGCCCUGGCAGUCAGAGGCGAUGAAGGACGUGCUAAUCUGCGAUAAGCGUCGGUAAGGUGAUAUGAACCGUUAUAACCGGCGAUUUCCGAAUGGGGAAACCCAGUGUGAUUCGUCACACUAUCAUUAACUGAAUCCAUAGGUUAAUGAGGCGAACCGGGGGAACUGAAACAUCUAAGUACCCCGAGGAAAAGAAAUCAACCGAGAUUCCCCCAGUAGCGGCGAGCGAACGGGGAGCAGCCCAGAGCCUGAAUCAGUGUGUGUGUUAGUGGAAGCGUCUGGAAAGGCGUGCGAUACAGGGUGACAGCCCCGUACACAAAAAUGCACAUACUGUGAGCUCGAUGAGUAGGGCGGGACACGUGGUAUCCUGUCUGAAUAUGGGGGGACCAUCCUCCAAGGCUAAAUACUCCUGACUGACCGAUAGUGAACCAGUACCGUGAGGGAAAGGCGAAAAGAACCCCGGCGAGGGGAGUGAAAAAGAACCUGAAACCGUGUACGUACAAGCAGUGGGAGCACGCUUAGGCGUGUGACUGCGUACCUUUUGUAUAAUGGGUCAGCGACUUAUAUUCUGUAGCAAGGUUAACCGAAUAGGGGAGCCGAAGGGAAACCGAGUCUUAACUGGGCGUUAAGUUGCAGGGUAUAGACCCGAAACCCGGUGAUCUAGCCAUGGGCAGGUUGAAGGUUGGGUAACACUAACUGGAGGACCGAACCGACUAAUGUUGAAAAAUUAGCGGAUGACUUGUGGCUGGGGGUGAAAGGCCAAUCAAACCGGGAGAUAGCUGGUUCUCCCCGAAAGCUAUUUAGGUAGCGCCUCGUGAAUUCAUCUCCGGGGGUAGAGCACUGUUUCGGCAAGGGGGUCAUCCCGACUUACCAACCCGAUGCAAACUGCGAAUACCGGAGAAUGUUAUCACGGGAGACACACGGCGGGUGCUAACGUCCGUCGUGAAGAGGGAAACAACCCAGACCGCCAGCUAAGGUCCCAAAGUCAUGGUUAAGUGGGAAACGAUGUGGGAAGGCCCAGACAGCCAGGAUGUUGGCUUAGAAGCAGCCAUCAUUUAAAGAAAGCGUAAUAGCUCACUGGUCGAGUCGGCCUGCGCGGAAGAUGUAACGGGGCUAAACCAUGCACCGAAGCUGCGGCAGCGACGCUUAUGCGUUGUUGGGUAGGGGAGCGUUCUGUAAGCCUGUGAAGGUGUACUGUGAGGUAUGCUGGAGGUAUCAGAAGUGCGAAUGCUGACAUAAGUAACGAUAAAGCGGGUGAAAAGCCCGCUCGCCGGAAGACCAAGGGUUCCUGUCCAACGUUAAUCGGGGCAGGGUGAGUCGACCCCUAAGGCGAGGCCGAAAGGCGUAGUCGAUGGGAAACAGGUUAAUAUUCCUGUACUUGGUGUUACUGCGAAGGGGGGACGGAGAAGGCUAUGUUGGCCGGGCGACGGUUGUCCCGGUUUAAGCGUGUAGGCUGGUUUUCCAGGCAAAUCCGGAAAAUCAAGGCCGAGGCGUGAUGACGAGGCACUACGGUGCUGAAGCAACAAAUGCCCUGCUUCCAGGAAAAGCCUCUAAGCAUCAGGUAACAUCAAAUCGUACCCCAAACCGACACAGGUGGUCAGGUAGAGAAUACCAAGGCGCUUGAGAGAACUCGGGUGAAGGAACUAGGCAAAAUGGUGCCGUAACUUCGGGAGAAGGCACGCUGAUACGUAGGUGAAGCGACUUGCUCGUGGAGCUGAAAUCAGUCGAAGAUACCAGCUGGCUGCAACUGUUUAUUAAAAACACAGCACUGUGCAAACACGAAAGUGGACGUAUACGGUGUGACGCCUGCCCGGUGCCGGAAGGUUAAUUGAUGGGGUUAGCGCAAGCGAAGCUCUUGAUCGAAGCCCCGGUAAACGGCGGCCGUAACUAUAACGGUCCUAAGGUAGCGAAAUUCCUUGUCGGGUAAGUUCCGACCUGCACGAAUGGCGUAAUGAUGGCCAGGCUGUCUCCACCCGAGACUCAGUGAAAUUGAACUCGCUGUGAAGAUGCAGUGUACCCGCGGCAAGACGGAAAGACCCCGUGAACCCUUACUAUAGCUUGACACUGAACAUUGAGCCUUGAUGUGUAGGAUAGGUGGGAGGCUUUGAAGUGUGGACGCCAGUCUGCAUGGAGCCGACCUUGAAAUACCACCCUUUAAUGUUUGAUGUUCUAACGUGGACCCGUGAUCCGGGUUGCGGACAGUGUCUGGUGGGUAGUUUGACUGGGGCGGUCUCCUCCUAAAGAGUAACGGAGGAGCACGAAGGUUGGCUAAUCCUGGUCGGACAUCAGGAGGUUAGUGCAAUGGCAUAAGCCAGCUUGACUGCGAGCGUGACGGCGCGAGCAGGUGCGAAAGCAGGUCAUAGUGAUCCGGUGGUUCUGAAUGGAAGGGCCAUCGCUCAACGGAUAAAAGGUACUCCGGGGAUAACAGGCUGAUACCGCCCAAGAGUUCAUAUCGACGGCGGUGUUUGGCACCUCGAUGUCGGCUCAUCACAUCCUGGGGCUGAAGUAGGUCCCAAGGGUAUGGCUGUUCGCCAUUUAAAGUGGUACGCGAGCUGGGUUUAGAACGUCGUGAGACAGUUCGGUCCCUAUCUGCCGUGGGCGCUGGAGAACUGAGGGGGGCUGCUCCUAGUACGAGAGGACCGGAGUGGACGCAUCACUGGUGUUCGGGUUGUCAUGCCAAUGGCACUGCCCGGUAGCUAAAUGCGGAAGAGAUAAGUGCUGAAAGCAUCUAAGCACGAAACUUGCCCCGAGAUGAGUUCUCCCUGACCCUUUAAGGGUCCUGAAGGAACGUUGAAGACGACGACGUUGAUAGGCCGGGUGUGUAAGCGCAGCGAUGCGUUGAGCUAACCGGUACUAAUGAACCGUGAGGCUUAACCUU